AAUCAUUUGUGGAGGAUUCAAGGUUUGAUUUGGCAUAGCACAAGAGCCAUGACUAGGAAUUCAAAUAUCCCAUCGAAGGAUUGGAUGAAUUUAGCAAGGUUAUACUAGAUGGAUAAAUCAUGGGGAAUGGGAUAUCAAGUUGAAUGUUGACGAUGAUAUGGAUUACUCGCGUGAUGAUAUUGAUGGGUUGUUGAAUGAUCAAUUUAGAGAUGUUGCACCGGCUGAAGGAGUUUAUGAUAGUCCAAAUGAAGAUGCCAAGAAAUUCUAUAACUUAGUUGAUGAGGCAAGCCAAGAAUUAUAUCUUGGUUGUACAGGAUUCUCUAAAUUAUCAUUCACAC